rnacentral:rRNA from 1 species
AGCUCCAAUAGCGUAUAUUAAAGUUGUUGCAGUUAAAAAGCUCGUAGUUGAAUUUGUGGCAAAUGAUGAGCUCACAUUGCUUGUUUGUGAUGUUGCUGCCUGUUGUUGCCAUCCUUGGGUGGAAUCUGUGUGGCAUUAGGUUGUCGUGCAGGGAAUACGCAUCGGUUGUCGUGCAGGGAAUACGCAUCGUUUACUGUGAAAAAAUUAGAGUGUUCAAAGCAGGCCUAUGCCAAUGAAUAUAUUAGCAUGGAAUAAUGAGAUAGGACCUUGGUACUAUUUUGUUGGUUUGCACGUUGAGGUAAUGGUUAACAGGAACAGUUGGGGGUAUUCGUAUUUCAUUGUCAGAGGUGAAAUUCUUGGAUUUUUGAAAGACGAACUACUGCGAAAGCAUUUACCAAGG